rnacentral:rRNA from 1 species
GGAGAAGUCGUAACAAGGUUUCCGUAGGUGAACCUGCGGAAGGAUCAUUGUCUCGGUGGGCCCGUAUCUUAGCUGAUUUCGUGCCUACCGGUUAUGCAUUCAUCCAUGCCCAAGACUUCAGUUUUGGUUGGAUCGUAGGCAUAGCUUCCGGAUAUCACCAAACCCCAGCACGAAAAGUGUCAAGGAAAAUGCAACUAAACAGCCUGCUUUCGCCAACCCGGAGACGGUGUUUGUUCGGAAGCAGUGAUGCAAUGUAAAGUCUAAAAGGACUCUCGGAACGGAUAUCUCGGCUCUCUCAUCGAUGAAGAACAUAGCAAAAUGCGAUACUUGGUGUGAAUUGCAGAAUCCUGUGAACCAUCGAGUCUUUGAACGCAAGUUGCGCCCCAAGCCUUCUGGCCGAGGGCACGUCUGCCUGGAUGUCACAAAUCAUCGUCCCCCCAUCCUCUUGAAGAUAUGGGACGGAAGCUGAUCUCCUGUGUGUUACCGCACGCGGUUGGCCAAAAUCCAAGCUAAGGACGCCAAGAGCGUCUUGACAUGCGGUGGUGAAUUUAAUUCUCGUCAUAUAGUCAGACGUUCCGGUCCAAAAGCUCUUGAUGACCCAAAGUCCUCAACCCGACCCCAGGUCAGGCGGGAUCACCCGCUGAG